rnacentral:rRNA from 1 species
GGGUUGUGAGGUUAAGCGACUAAGCGUACACGGUGGAUGCCCUGGCAGUCAGAGGCGAUGAAGGACGUGCUAAUCUGCGAUAAGCGUCGGUAAGGUGAUAUGAACCGUUAUAACCGGCGAUUUCCGAAUGGGGAAACCCAGUGUGUUUCGACACACUAUCAUUAACUGAAUCCAUAGGUUAAUGAGGCGAACCGGGGGAACUGAAACAUCUAAGUACCCCGAGGAAAAGAAAUCAACCGAGAUUCCCCCAGUAGCGGCGAGCGAACGGGGAGCAGCCCAGAGCCUGAAUCAGUGUGUGUGUUAGUGGAAGCGUCUGGAAAGGCGCGCGAUACAGGGUGACAGCCCCGUACACAAAAAUGCACAUGCUGUGAGCUCGAUGAGUAGGGCGGGACACGUGGUAUCCUGUCUGAAUAUGGGGGGACCAUCCUCCAAGGCUAAAUACUCCUGACUGACCGAUAGUGAACCAGUACCGUGAGGGAAAGGCGAAAAGAACCCCGGCGAGGGGAGUGAAAAAGAACCUGAAACCGUGUACGUACAAGCAGUGGGAGCACGCUUAGGCGUGUGACUGCGUACCUUUUGUAUAAUGGGUCAGCGACUUAUAUUCUGUAGCAAGGUUAACCGAAUAGGGGAGCCGAAGGGAAACCGAGUCUUAACUGGGCGUUAAGUUGCAGGGUAUAGACCCGAAACCCGGUGAUCUAGCCAUGGGCAGGUUGAAGGUUGGGUAACACUAACUGGAGGACCGAACCGACUAAUGUUGAAAAAUUAGCGGAUGACUUGUGGCUGGGGGUGAAAGGCCAAUCAAACCGGGAGAUAGCUGGUUCUCCCCGAAAGCUAUUUAGGUAGCGCCUCGUGAAUUCAUCUCCGGGGGUAGAGCACUGUUUCGGCAAGGGGGUCAUCCCGACUUACCAACCCGAUGCAAACUGCGAAUACCGGAGAAUGUUAUCACGGGAGACACACGGCGGGUGCUAACGUCCGUCGUGAAGAGGGAAACAACCCAGACCGCCAGCUAAGGUCCCAAAGUCAUGGUUAAGUGGGAAACGAUGUGGGAAGGCCCAGACAGCCAGGAUGUUGGCUUAGAAGCAGCCAUCAUUUAAAGAAAGCGUAAUAGCUCACUGGUCGAGUCGGCCUGCGCGGAAGAUGUAACGGGGCUAAACCAUGCACCGAAGCUGCGGCAGCGACACUAUGUGUUGUUGGGUAGGGGAGCGUUCUGUAAGCCUGUGAAGGUGUGCUGUGAGGCAUGCUGGAGGUAUCAGAAGUGCGAAUGCUGACAUAAGUAACGAUAAAGCGGGUGAAAAGCCCGCUCGCCGGAAGACCAAGGGUUCCUGUCCAACGUUAAUCGGGGCAGGGUGAGUCGACCCCUAAGGCGAGGCCGAAAGGCGUAGUCGAUGGGAAACAGGUUAAUAUUCCUGUACUUGGUGUUACUGCGAAGGGGGGACGGAGAAGGCUAUGUUGGCCGGGCGACGGUUGUCCCGGUUUAAGCGUGUAGGCUGGUUUUCCAGGCAAAUCCGGAAAAUCAAGGCUGAGGCGUGAUGACGAGGCACUACGGUGCUGAAGCAACAAAUGCCCUGCUUCCAGGAAAAGCCUCUAAGCAUCAGGUAACAUCAAAUCGUACCCCAAACCGACACAGGUGGUCAGGUAGAGAAUACCAAGGCGCUUGAGAGAACUCGGGUGAAGGAACUAGGCAAAAUGGUGCCGUAACUUCGGGAGAAGGCACGCUGAUAUGUAGGUGAAGUCCCUCGCGGAUGGAGCUGAAAUCAGUCGAAGAUACCAGCUGGCUGCAACUGUUUAUUAAAAACACAGCACUGUGCAAACACGAAAGUGGACGUAUACGGUGUGACGCCUGCCCGGUGCCGGAAGGUUAAUUGAUGGGGUUAGCGCAAGCGAAGCUCUUGAUCGAAGCCCCGGUAAACGGCGGCCGUAACUAUAACGGUCCUAAGGUAGCGAAAUUCCUUGUCGGGUAAGUUCCGACCUGCACGAAUGGCGUAAUGAUGGCCAGGCUGUCUCCACCCGAGACUCAGUGAAAUUGAACUCGCUGUGAAGAUGCAGUGUACCCGCGGCAAGACGGAAAGACCCCGUGAACCUUUACUAUAGCUUGACACUGAACAUUGAGCCUUGAUGUGUAGGAUAGGUGGGAGGCUUUGAAGUGUGGACGCCAGUCUGCAUGGAGCCGACCUUGAAAUACCACCCUUUAAUGUUUGAUGUUCUAACGUGGACCCGUAAUCCGGGUUGCGGACAGUGUCUGGUGGGUAGUUUGACUGGGGCGGUCUCCUCCUAAAGAGUAACGGAGGAGCACGAAGGUUGGCUAAUCCUGGUCGGACAUCAGGAGGUUAGUGCAAUGGCAUAAGCCAGCUUGACUGCGAGCGUGACGGCGCGAGCAGGUGCGAAAGCAGGUCAUAGUGAUCCGGUGGUUCUGAAUGGAAGGGCCAUCGCUCAACGGAUAAAAGGUACUCCGGGGAUAACAGGCUGAUACCGCCCAAGAGUUCAUAUCGACGGCGGUGUUUGGCACCUCGAUGUCGGCUCAUCACAUCCUGGGGCUGAAGUAGGUCCCAAGGGUAUGGCUGUUCGCCAUUUAAAGUGGUACGCGAGCUGGGUUUAGAACGUCGUGAGACAGUUCGGUCCCUAUCUGCCGUGGGCGCUGGAGAACUGAGGGGGGCUGCUCCUAGUACGAGAGGACCGGAGUGGACGCAUCACUGGUGUUCGGGUUGUCAUGCCAAUGGCACUGCCCGGUAGCUAAAUGCGGAAGAGAUAAGUGCUGAAAGCAUCUAAGCACGAAACUUGCCCCGAGAUGAGUUCUCCCUGACUCCUUGAGAGUCCUGAAGGAACGUUGAAGACGACGACGUUGAUAGGCCGGGUGUGUAAGCGCAGCGAUGCGUUGAGCUAACCGGUACUAAUGAACCGUGAGGCUUAACCUUACAACGCCGAAG